rnacentral:lncRNA from 1 species
GGUCCGACUCGCACGCGCGGGCCCCGCGCUGGUACAGGGCUGCAGGUUUCCCAGAUGAUGGCAUCCAAGAACUUAAACAAAGAGGGUCGCCGCCGGCGCGCCGCGGCUGCACAAAGUUGCAGUGGCGGAUUUCCAAGAAGCUUGGCCACAGGAGCUCUGCGCGAGGCAAGCCUUCCUUUCCCACCUCCUGCAGGACGGAGAUGGGGGCCCGCGCGUGAAGGGAAGAGGAAACUUUGAAACCAGUGGGGACACAUCUGUCUAUAGAAUCGGAGAAAGGAAAUCUGAUAUGCAGACCUCAGACGAGGGCAACAAGAAUAUGUACACUGCAAAUGGUUACAUUAUACAUCACCUGACAACUUCACAUCAGAUAAAGGGGUCCUUGCUCCGCACAGCAGGGAAGAAAAAAAAAUAUUCAACAGUAAAGGAAGAAGCCUGCAUAGAACCAUUUCUUCUCAUUCCUUAUAUGUACAAACAUGAAUAAUUUGACAUGAUGUUUAGACAGUUUUCACCUAACUUAAGUCUUUUAAUUAAAAUGAAAGGCAGAAAAUAUGCUUUAAAUAUGAAUGCGAGAGGUGUGAGUUGGCAUCCCCCAGCUUUCCUCCUCCUCUCUCUCUGUUGUUAGCGAGCACAAUGAGAUCUCGUUGCUCCCACCGUCUUUUCAU